CGUUGUCCGGAUUAUUGGGCGUAAAGAGCUUGUAGGCGGUUUGUCGCGUCUGCUGUGAAAGGCCGGGGCUUAACCCCGUGUAUUGCAGUGGGUACGGGCAGACUAGAGUGCAGUAGGGGAGACUGGAACUCCUGGUGUAGCGGUGGAAUGCGCAGAUAUCAGGAAGAACACCGAUGGCGAAGGCAGGUCUCUGGGCUGUAACUGACGCUGAGAAGCGAAAGCAUGGGGAGCGAACAGGAUUAGAUACCCUGGUAGUCCAUGCCGUAAACGUUGGGCACUAGGUGUGGGGGACAUUCCACGUUUUCCGCGCCGUAGCUAACGCAUUAAGUGCCCCGCCUGGGGAGUACGGCCGCAAGGCUAAAACUCAAAGAAAUUGACGGGGGCCCGCACAAGCGGCGGAGCAUGCGGAUUAAUUCGAUGCAACGCGAAGAACCUUACCAAGGCUUGACAUAUACUGGACCGCAUCAGAGAUGGUGUUUCCCUUCGGGGCUGGUAUACAGGUGGUGCAUGGUUGUCGUCAGCUCGUGUCGUGA
rnacentral:rRNA from 1 species